rnacentral:misc_RNA from 1 species
AGAUAAGAAAAUUUCUCCCAAGGCAGCAAAUGACAUCAAACUGAUAAAUGCGGGGAAAAUUUUGGAAAACAACAAGACUGUUGGGCAGUGUAGAGUUCCUUUUGGAGAGCUUCCAAAAGGGGUUAUUACCAUGCAUGUUGUAGUGCAACCAUCUUUAGCAAAAGCAAAAACAGAGAAAAAAGUGGAUGAGGCCCCAAGGAAAAAUUUAUGUUCAUGUUCCAUAUUGUAAGAGAACAGCAGGGCGUUAAUGCAGGUUAAAGCUCGUGAGGUUGGCUUGAAUUUGCUAGGAUCUCAUGGCCUUGGAAAUUGGUUGCUGGAAGAAAGAAAGACAAUAAUUUGUAAAAUGGUGCUAUCCCUCAGUGUCGCACCUUAGUUUUGAGCUCAUUCCUGUGUAACAAAUAUGUUGGUGAUGUAUUUGCGUUCUAUAAAAUGCGUGUUUCUGUAUUUCUAUAGCAGCUGUAGUCCUUUUUAUAAUUUUUUUUAUACAAGGCUUUUGGUUUGACACUUCAUUAGGCCGCAUAUCCUUAGUAGAACAUGCUAUAUUCGCCGCUUACUAUUGAUUACUGGUAUGAGCUCAAAAC